rnacentral:pre_miRNA from 1 species
GAAAACUUGGAAACUACUGUUGGAUCGAGAAAUUGAUGUCCGAGAUUCAUCCACAUCACCAUAAGUUAAAAUUUAACUCCCAGUAAAAUUUUAACGCAUGAGUGAAUCCGUGAGUUAAAUUUUAACUCAUGGUGACGUGGACGAAUCUCGGACGUCAAUUUCUCGAUCCAACGGUAGUUUCCAGGUUUUC